UGCGUAGGUGGCGGGGUAAGUCAGGUGUGAAAUCUCGGAGCUCAACUCCGAAACUGCACUUGAUACUGCCUUGCUCGAGUACUGGAGAGGAGAUUGGAAUUUACGGUGUAGCAGUGAAAUGCGUAGAUAUCGUAAGGAAGACCAGUGGCGAAGGCGAAUCUCUGGACAGUUACUGACACUGAGGACAAGGCCAGGGGGACGCGAAACGA
rnacentral:rRNA from 1 species